AAAACCAUGUUCUCUAUUUGAUCCAUAUAAGGGUCAAGUUGACAUUUAACAAUUUAAAAUUCUUAAACGGCGUCGUUGUAUUCCGUAGACGAAUUAUUCAUCGUCGCAGAGUGGAACUGAGAACUUGAACGGGAGUGGUGAAUCAACCGGUGUGGGGGGGAUACAUGGAAGCGAUAGACUCUAAUUCAAGCACAAAACCGUCAUCGCUCCGAUGGAAAAUCCUUCGCCGUGCUCUUCUUCGUCGCCCGGCAUCCAAUCCAGAUAACCAAUCGGAAACGGGUGUUGAGCAAAUAUCAAGAAAGGCAACUCGGGGUUUCAAUUUGAUACCGUGCAGUUUUCUGGGAAAUCGUUCAGAAGAAAAUUCAGAUUCUCUGUUAAGAAAAGAUGCAGUGAGCAGCUCAAGAGAUGCUCCUUUCUGUUACACAUUGCCUCUUCCCAAUUCUCCCCAGCUUGUUCUGCACCAGAGAGUGAAUGAUCUUGUGGAUCUCAAUGACUUUGAGGUCUGUAACAGGUUUAAUAUUGACAACACUGGGCUUGUUUGUCAAUGGCCGUCUGAGGAUGUCCUUGCCUACUACUGCUUGUCACACGCAGACAUGUUCAGGCAUAAAAGAGUGAUUGAACUUGGAUCAGGAUAUGGCUUAGCUGGCCUAGUUGUUGCAAUAGCCACAGAAGCACUAGAAGUUGUGAUCACUGAUGGAAAUCCUCAAGUUGUUGAUUAUAUACAGAGUAAUAUAAUUACCAAUUCAAGUGUGUUUGGUGGUACAGAGGUUAAGUCAAUGAUUCUGCAUUGGGGUCAGGAAAAUGUCUCAGAUAUCUCUAAUACCUUUGAUGUCAUUAUUGCAAGUGACUGCACAUUCUUUAAGGAAUUCCAUGAAGGUCUUGCUGAAACUAUCAAAUUCUUGUUAAAGAAAGAGGGUCCCUCUGAAGCACUACUUUUUAGCCCUAAAAGAGGUGAUUCAUUGGAAAAGUUCCUUGGAAAGGUUAAAGGCAGUGGACUUAAUUUCAGCAUAGAUAACAAGUAUGACACAGAAAUUUGGAGGCGUCAUCAGAGAUUCCUUUAUGGUGAUGAUUCUUGGCCCAAUUAUGAGAUGGACCACUGCUAUCCUUUGUUGGUCAAAAUAACGUGGUAAAAAUUCAACACAUGGAGGGGAGGAAUCAACUUCAACAUGAAGAAGUUGAGGGAUUUGAACCACAACCCGGUGGAAGAUCAGAGAAGGCCUCAUCAUGUUCCAUCAGCUGAAAAUUUCAAGAGGCUAUUCAUCAAUCAUGAAACAAAGGGCUAUCAUCUUAGUAUGGCCCUGCUUAAUUGUUGGAAAAGCAUAUUCAAUAAAAUAAUCUUGAUUAUUGAUUAUGUAUUGCACAAACUUAUUAUCAAUAUGUAGAUUGCUGGGGAAUCCUAUGAUAUAAAGCAUAUUUGUAAUAUAUUAAUGUUAGUCCAAAGUGAAAAUCAUAAAAGACAAGUUGAAGCAAUGAUGGCAUUGAAGAAAUUAGUUGUUUAGUAGCAAUUUAGGUGGCCUAAACGCCUCAUCUUUAUGGCAUUAGAUUAUAAAAUCAAUUUAGUAGUGAUAUAUCCUAUGAUUUUGCCAUUUCGUUGUAGCUUUGUUGACAUUUUAUUCGCAGUGACGCAUUGGUGGACCCCUACUAUUUUCUU